rnacentral:rRNA from 1 species
GACGAACCGUGCGAACGUUGUUCGGAAUCACUGGGCUUAAAGGGCGCGUAGGCGGGCCAUAAAGUCAGGGGUGAAAUCCUCCAGCUUAACUGGAGAACUGCCUUUGAUACUGAUGGUCUCGAGUAAGGUAGGGGCAUGCGGAACUGAUGGUGGAGCGGUGAAAUGUGUUGAUAUCAUCAGGGAACUCCGGUGGCGAAGGCGGCAUGCUGGACCUUCACUGACGCUGAGGCGCGAAAGCUAGGGGAGCGAACGGG